GAUGAACGCUGCGGCGUGCCUAACACAUGCAAGUCGAACGGAGUUCUUAAGGAAUGCGACUUCGGUCAAAUGACUUUUGAACUUAGUGGCGGACGGGUGAGUAACGCGUGAGCAACCUGCCUUUCAGAGGGGGAUAACAUUUGGAAACAGAUGCUAAUACCGCAUAAGAUUACAGUACCGCAUGAUACAGUGAUCAAAGGAGCAAUCCGCUGAAAGAUGGGCUCGCGUCCGAUUAGAUAGUUGGUGAGGUAACGGCUCACCAAGUCGACGAUCGGUAGCCGGACUGAGAGGUUGAACGGCCACAUUGGGACUGAGACACGGCCCAGACUCCUACGGGAGGCAGCAGUGGGGAAUAUUGCACAAUGGGCGAAAGCCUGAUGCAGCAACGCCGCGUGAGGGAAGACGGUUUUCGGAUUGUAAACCUCUGUUUUCGGUGACGAACAAAUGACGGUAACCGAGUAGGAAGCCACGGCUAACUACGUGCCAGCAGCCGCGGUAAUACGUAGGUGGCAAGCGUUAUCCGGAAUUACUGGGUGUAAAGGGAGCGCAGGCGGGAUAGCAAGUCAGCUGUGAAAACUAUGGGCUCAACCCAUAAACUGCAGUUGAAACUGUUAUUCUUGAGUGGAGUAGAGGCAAGCGGAAUUCGGAGUGUAGCGGUGAAAUGCGUAGAUAUUUCGGAGGAACACCAGUGGCGAAGGCGGCUUGCUGGGCUCUAACUGACGCUGAGGCUCGAAAGUGUGGGGAGCAAACAGGAUUAGAUACCCUGGUAGUCCACACUGUA
rnacentral:rRNA from 1 species